rnacentral:rRNA from 1 species
GACGAACGCUGGCGGCAUGCCUAAUACAUGCAAGUCGAGCGGACGGAUGAAGUGCUUGCACUUCUGACGGUAGCGGCGAACGGGGGAGUAACACGUAAGGAAUCUACCUAUAAGCGGGGGAUAACAUUCGGAAACGGGUGCUAACACCGCAUAAUAUCUACUUCCGCAUGGAAGAAGAUUGAAAGACGGCCCUGCUGUCAUGUAUAGAUGACCUUGCGGUGCAUUAGUUAGUUUGUGGGGUAAUGGCCUACCAAGACGACGAUGCAUAGCCGACCUGAGAGGGUGAUCGGCCACAUUGGGACUGAGACACGGCCCAGACUCCUCCGGGAGGCAGCAGAAGGGAAUCUUCCGCAAUGGGCGAGAGCCUGACGGAGCAAUGCCGCGUGAGUGAAGAAGGCCUUCGGGUCGUAAAACUCUGUUAUAAGAGAAGAACAAAUUGUAGAGUAACUGCUACAGUCUUGACGGUAUCUUAUCAGAAAGCCACGGCUAACUACGUGCCAGCCGCCGCAGUAA